UGAUGAUAACAACUGCGAAAAAAACCGAAGUUAAGAUGUUGAUUUUAAUUUUCAAACCGUUUUAGUCGAUUAACGGUCAAUUGAUACGAAAAUUGACUUUUAACGCGUCGACUCUAUUGCCGUUUAUACUUCACCGCGUUAACAUUAUUGUACGUUAACUUGUCCAGCCAUGCAUAGCAGCUGCAAUAAUAAUACUAUCGUCCAGUUUUGUACAGAGCGCGUGUAUUUUAUACGCGGAGACUUUAACGCCGACCGCGUUGUGAAAUCGACGACUAUAUAGCUGAAACCCGCGCGCCAUACGCCGCGCAUUUCCCUCGGCCGUUCUCGGUGCCUUCUAAUACUCGAUGACGGUAUAUGAAUGAAACAUUAUGUUUU